UACAGAGGGUGCGAGCGUUAAUCGGAAUUACUGGGCGUAAAGCGUGCGUAGACGGCUAUCUAAGUCGGGUGUGAAAGCCCCGGGCUCAACCUGGGAAUUGCAUUCGAGACUGAAUAGCUAGGGUACGGUAGAGGGAAGCGGAAUUUCCGGUGUAGCGGUGAAAUGCGUAGAUAAUCGGAAGGAACAUCAGUGGCGAAAAGCGGCUUCCUGGGA
rnacentral:rRNA from 1 species